rnacentral:misc_RNA from 1 species
CAUUGUCAACCAUCAAGCCUGGCUUGUCGUUGGACCCGUUGUCGCCACAAGCGAUAGGUCCGAAAGAUAAUGAACGGUGUCAUGGUGGCCCUAAAUGCAACGAGCUUUUAAUAGCACGCAUCUGGUGGUCGGCAGGCCCGGUCUUAACCCAUUAUUUCAAGGUUGACCUCGGAUCGAGGUAGGAUACCCGCUGAACUUAA